UCGAGCCGAGUGAUGGGAAACUAUCACGCUCGGUUCCUCGGGGGCUGGGCGCGGGAAACCGCGCCUGGCUACCCUCC
rnacentral:ncRNA from 1 species